rnacentral:rRNA from 1 species
CAGCAGCCGCCACGGUAAUACAGAGGGUGCGAGCGUUAAUCGGAUUUACUGGGCGUAAAGCGUGCGUAGGCGGCUUUUUAAGUCGGAUGUGAAAUCCCUGAGCUUAACUUAGGAAUUGCAUUCGAUACUGGGAAGCUAGAGUAUGGGAGAGGAUGGUAGAAUUCCAGGUGUAGCGGUGAAAUGCGUAGAGAUCUGGAGGAAUACCGAUGGCGAAGGCAGCCAUCUGGCCUAAUACUGACGCUGAGGUACGAAAGCAUGGGGAGCAAACAGGAUUAGAUACCCCCGUAGUCCCUGUCUCUUU